rnacentral:lncRNA from 1 species
UUGUAUAGGUUGUAGACACUUGUAGAAUUCUCUAGAAGAUAUGAUAAGAGUCUAUAAAUAGGGCAUGAUCCCUCAUUUGUUAGUAAGAAAAAAGAAGCUAGACAAAGCUCAAGCUAUUGUAAGCUAUCAUCAUUCUAAUAAAAUUCCUUUCUCCUACCUACUUUGUCCACCAAAUUACUUUCUACCAAAAUCUUCCAAACUAUUAACUUUCAAUAAAAAGCCAACUAUUUUUUACCUCCAAAAUUAUUCCAUACAAAACAUCCUCAAUCAUCC